AUCCUGCGCCGAAGAUUUCCGGGGCUAAAACUUACUACCGAAGCUACGGCAUCAGUAAUGAUGGGUAGGGGAGCUUCCCAUACGGGUUGAAGCAUGACCGUAAGGACAUGUGGACAGUAUGGGAGUGAGAAUGUUGGCAUGAGUAGCGAGAUGUGGGUGAGAAUCCCACAGGCCGUAAACCCAAGGUUUCCAGGGGAAGGUUCGUCCGCCCUGGGUUAGUCGGGACCUAAGCUGAGGCCGAAAGGCGUAGGUGAUGGACAACAGGUUGAUAUUCCUGUACUACCGAUAACCGUUUGAGAGAAGGGAUGACACAGUAGGAUAAGCUAAGCACACUGUUGGUUAUGUGUGCCCAAGCAUUGAGGCAGUCAAAGUAGGCAAAUCCGCUUUGAUAAUGCUGGGAUGUGAUGGGGAGCGAAAUUUAGUAGCGAAGUAGCUGAUUUCACACUGUCAAGAAAAGUCUCUA
rnacentral:rRNA from 1 species